CCUACGGGAGGCAGCAGUGAGGAAUAUUGGUCAAUGGGCGCGAGCCUGAACCAGCCAAGUCGCGUGAGGGAAGACGGUCCUAUGGAUUGUAAACCUCUUUUGUCGGGGAGCAAAAGACGCCACGCGUGGCGGUCCGAGAGUACCCGAAGAAAAAGCAUCGGCUAACUCCGUGCCAGCAGCCGCGGUAAUACGGAGGAUGCGAGCGUUAUCCGGUUUUAUUGGGUUAAAGGGGUGCGCAGGGGGAAGAUCAAGUCGGCGGUAAAAUUGAGGGGCCCAACCUCUUCGAGCCGUUGAAACUGGUUAGCUUGAGUGCAGGAGAGGUAUGCGGAAUGCGUGGUGUAGCGGUGAAAUGCGUAGAUAUCACGCAGAACUCCGAUUGCGAAGGCAGCAUACCGGCCUUCAACUGACGCUCAUGCACGAAAGUGUGGGUAUCAAACAGGAUUAGAUACCCUAGUAGUC
rnacentral:rRNA from 1 species